GCAGCCGUGGCCUACUGGUUAGGGCUUUGGGUUUAUAACUGAAGGGUUGCUGGCUCGAUCCCUGACUAGUAGUA
rnacentral:tRNA from 1 species